CCUACGGGAGGCAGCAGUGGGGAAUAUUGCGCAAUGGGGGAAACCCUGACGCAGCAACGCCGCGUGAGUGAGGAAGGACUUCGGUCUGUAAAGCUCUGUUAAUGAGGAAAAAUGGUAGUUGGUCUAAUAGGCCGAUUAUUUGAUGGUACUCAUAGAGGAAGCACCGGCUAACUUCGUGCCAGCAGCCGCGGUAAUACGAAGGGUGCAAGCGUUGUUCGGAUUUAUUGGGCGUAAAGCGCGCGUAGGCGGACCCGCAAGUCAGAUGUGAAAUCUCGAGGCUCAACCUCGAAACUGCGUCUGAAACUACGGGUCUAGAAUCUCGGAGGGGGAAGGGGAAUUUCGCAUGUAGGGGUAAAAUCCGUAGAUAUGCGAAGGAACACCAGAGGCGAAGGCGCCUUCCUGGACGAGUAUUGACGCUGAGGCGCGAAAGCGUGGGGAUCAAACAGGAUUAGAUACCCUGGUAGUCCACGCUGUAAACGAUGAACACUAGGUAUUGGAGGAUUUGACCCCUUCAGUGCCGUAGCUAACGCGUUAAGUGUUCCGCCUGGGAAGUACGGUCGCAAGCAAAACUCAAAGGAAUUGACGGCGUGAGACGUGCGACGGACGACGACGAGGGAGAGG
rnacentral:rRNA from 1 species